GACGGGGGGGGCAAGUGUUCUUCGGAAUGACUGGGCGUAAAGGGCACGUAGGCGGUGAAUCGGGUUGAAAGUGAAAGUCGCCAAAAACUGGCGGAAUGCUCUCGAAACCAAUGAACUUGGGUGAGACAGAGGAGAGUGGAAUUUCGUGUGUAGGGGUGAAAUGCGCAGAGAUAUGGAGGAACACCAGUGGCGAAGGCGACUUUCUGGUCUGUAACUGACGCUGAUGUGCGAAAGCGUGGGGAUCAAACAGG
rnacentral:rRNA from 1 species